UACAGAGGGUGCAAGCGUUGUUCGGAAUCACUGGGCGUAAAGGGUGCGUAGGCGGUCGGGUAAGUCUGAUGUGAAAUCUCACAGCUUAACUGUGAAACUGCAUUGGAUACUAUCCGGCUCGAGGAAUGGAGGGGAGACUGGAAUACUUGGUGUAGCAGUGAAAUGCGUAGAUAUCAAGUGGAACACCAGUGGCGAAGGCGAGUCUCUGGACAUUUCCUGACGCUGAGGCACGAAAGCCAGGGGAGCAAACGGG
rnacentral:rRNA from 1 species